UACGGAGGGUGCAAGCGUUAUCCGGAUUCACUGGGUUUAAAGGGUGCGUAGGAGGGUAGGUAAGUCAGUGGUGAAAUCUCCGGGCUCAACUCGGAAACUGCCGUUGAUACUAUCUGUCUUGAAUACCGUGGAGGUGAGCGGAAUAUGUCAUGUAGCGGUGAAAUGCUUAGAUAUGACAUAGAACACCAAUUGCGAAGGCAGCUCACUACGCGAAUAUUGACACUGAGGCACGAAAGCGUGGGGAUCAAACAGG
rnacentral:rRNA from 1 species